GCUUCUGUGUCAUCUUUGGAGGGUUCUUUGAAACCUUUUCUUACGAUCUCAUCCACUUCUUGGAAACCGAGUAUCGCAUCCAUCUUGAUACACCAAUCGUCGAAACCUUUGCCAUCAAAGACAGGUAGAUUGCUAUGCAUCAUCCCAGCCAUUACGUACAAACACUAUUCUUCUUGACACGUCUUGAACUGACCUUGCCCGAUUUCGAACCUCGCUCUGGAUACCACUGUUAGUGCAGAGCCAGUUAUGCAGUAGUGUGAAUUAUGCAGAGAGUUAUGCAGAGACAGAGAGUGAUGCAGAGACAGAGAGUGAGAGCAAAGAUAGUGAAUGAAAUUCUUAUUCAAAAAACUAUAUAACCAAUACAAACAAAGGUAUAUAUGCAGAGAUACAAUGAAGGAACUAACUGUUAAAAGUUAGUUGAAUCAGUUUUAACAGAAACUCAUAUUAACAACAACAC
rnacentral:lncRNA from 1 species